AGCAGUGGGGAAUCUUGGACAAUGGGCGCAAGCCUGAUCCAGCCAUGCCGCGUGAGUGAUGAAGGCCUUAGGGUCGUAAAGCUCUUUCGCCAGAGAUGAUAAUGACAGUAUCUGGUAAAGAAACCCCGGCUAACUCCGUGCCAGCAGCCGCGGUAAUACGGAGGGAGCUAGCGUUGUUCGGAAUUACUGGGCGUAAAGCGCACGUAGGCGGUCUAUUAAGUCAGAGGUGAAAUCCCGGGGCUCAACCCCGGAACUGCCUUUGAAACUGCUAGACUAGAAUCUUGGAGAGGUCAGUGGAAUUCCGAGUGUAGAGGUGAAAUUCGUAGAUAUUCGGAAGAACACCAGUGGCGAAAGCGACA
rnacentral:rRNA from 1 species